rnacentral:tRNA from 1 species
GCCAGUCUGGUGGAAUGGUAGACACAGCAGACUCAAAAUCUGCCAGGGGCGACCCUGUUCCGGUUCGAGUCCGGAGACUGGUACCA